rnacentral:rRNA from 1 species
AGAAUCAACGCUGGCGGCGUGCCUAACACAUGCAAGUCGAACGAGAAAGUGGAGCAAUCCAUGAGUAAAGUGGCGCACGGGUGAGUAACACGUGACUAACCUACCCUUGAGUGGGGGAUAACCUAGGGAAACCUGGGCUAAUACCGCAUAAUACCUUCGGGUCAAAGGAGCAAUUCGCUUAAGGAGGGGGUCGCGGCCGAUUAGUUAGUUGGCGGGGUAAUGGCCCACCAAGACUGUGAUCGGUAUCCGGCCUGAGAGGGCGCACGGACACACUGGAACUGAAACACGGUCCAGACUCCUACGGGAGGCAGCAGUGGGAAUUUUGCGCAAUGGGGGAAACCCUGACGCAGCAACGCCGCGUGGAGGAUGAAGUCCCUUGGGACGUAAACUCCUUUCGAUCGGGACGAUUAUGACGGUACCGGAAGAAGAAGCCCCGGCUAACUUCGCGCCAGCAGCCGC